UAGGGAAUCUUCGGCAAUGGACGAAAGUCUGACCGAGCAACGCCGCGGGAGUGAAGAAGGUUUUCGGAUCGUAAAACUCGGUUGUUAGAGAAGAACAAGGACGUUAGUAACUGAACGUCCCCUGACGGUAUCUAACCAGAAAGCAACGGCUAACUACGUGCCAGCAGCCGCGGUAAUACGUAGGUGGCAAGCGUUGUCCGGAUUUAUUGGGCGUAAAGCGAGCGCAGGCGGUUUCUUAAGUCUGAUGUGAAAGCCCCCGGCUCAACCGGGGAGGGUCAUUGGAAACUGGGAGACUUGAGUGCAGAAGAGGAGAGUGGAAUUCCAUGUGUAGCGGUGAAAUGCGUAGAUAUAUGGAGGAACACCAGUGGCGAAGGCGGCUCUCUGGUCUGUAACUGACGCUGAGGCUCGAAAGCGUGGGGAGCAAACAGG
rnacentral:rRNA from 1 species